GUUCUGAAGGUGUAGUCAAGGUGCUGUGGUAUCUGGUGACAGUGGUCUGGUGGCAGGGUCCCAAGAUGGUGCUGGACAUCCCUUGGUCAGUGAUAGAAAAGAACAGAACAUACGGGAAAUGGGAAUAAAACAGCUACAUUGGGGAAGGAGAGAAGAGCGAAGGCUGAGAAUGUCCUAGAACUCUGCAACUUAAAGUGUGAUUCAGGGAUGGCUUCUGACCCUGCACAAGGAUCUUGGCAGAUGCACACUGCACAUUUCACUGAGCAUCACUGAAGUGCCAUGGAAAGAACAGAGUCAAAUCUAAAAGCAUUCAAGUCCACAGUUCUCCAUUUAUUACUGGGUGAUCUCAGGCAGAUAACUUCUGUUCCUUCAUGUAUAGAAAUUUGAAUGGCAGAAGAUACUAUGUAAAUUUUAUUAUAUCAGUUAAGCAUAGAACACACAUAAAAGCAGAGUUCCAGGCACAGAACUGCUUUUUUGAAUAAGCAGAAUCAGUGGUAUUUUCCACACAUUAUCUCAUAUAUUCCUCCCAGUAGCUCUGGGAAGUGGGGGGAUCAUAAGCCUAUUGUGUAGAGGACGAAACAGAGGCUUCCAAGACAGAGCCGAAGAAAAGGUUAAAUGCUUUGCUUGAAGUUAGAGCUGAAACCGAGAUGAUUCAUAGACCAAAAGAACUGCAUGAAAGUAGCACCCACGAUGUUCUCAAUCGCUUUUCCGGUUAUAUUUGUUGCUAACAAGUUGGCUGUGUGGGCAGCAAGUUGAUAAAGGGACUGAGUCAUUUAGCCUUGGUGCUAUUGUUUCCAUUUUACAGACUACAAAACUGACUUGGGUAGGAAAAUUCCAUCAAAAAUUUUAAUAUAGGAAAAAAAAAGAAUAAUAAAAAAGGCAAGACC
rnacentral:lncRNA from 1 species